rnacentral:rRNA from 1 species
GACGAACCGUGCGAACGUUAUUCGGAAUCACUGGGCUUAAAGCGCGUGUAGGCGGGCCGCCACGUCGGCUGCUGAAAUCCCCCGGCUCAACCGGGGAACGGGCACCGAUACGAGCGGCCUCGAGGGGGGUAGGGGGUACUGGAACUUCCGGUGGAGCGGUGAAAUGCGUUGAGAUCGGAAGGAACGCCCGUGGCGAAAGCGAGUGCCUGGACCCUUUCUGACGCUGAGACGCGAAAGCCAGGGGAGCGAACGGG